CUGGAAGGUCAGGUGUCAGAAAUAUACUUGUGAAUCAAAAGCUCAGAAAUUUCUUGCUUGUUCCUCAUAUUUAGUGAGACAAUCGUGGGCAGGAUAGAGCCAAGCCAUAGCAAAUCUAACAGUAUCGGAACUGGAAGCGAAGACUUAUUUUGAAAGUGACACCAAAGGGAUACCAACUGAAUCUGCCUUAGCAUUAUGGCUAAUAAAGAGAAAAUAUCAAAAUAUGAUUUGCUGGGGUUUGUUGCCAUCCUGGUGAUUCAUAUGCAAGUAGUGAACUCACAAAUGCUCCCUGAAAUUUCAGACAUAAUUGUACAGGUUAGCUGCCCAGAGGAACAAAUGCCUCACAUAAGAGAAAUCCGAGAAGGUAAACAAUCAUUUAAAUGAGAUUUUUAUGUUUAAAAACAAAUCUUUAUCUCUUUGACUGUUUUUUCACAGUAUUGCGAAAAGUAUUUAUUGUGUAAUUUUAUUUACCUUUAUAUCAAUUCAUCUUCCUAGGCUUGAUUGUGUGAAUGAAACAAUCCACGAAUUAUAUUAUGUUUUAUUUUUCAUUAUUAUUUUUUCAAGGCACCCAUGUACUAAGCCUCUCACUGAAACUAAAUGAAGAUUUUGACUUUGCCCUCUGCAAUAAAGUAGUAUAAUAUACCAAACUUAUGAAAAAAAAAAAAAGAGUUCAGUAAGUAUUGCACAGUAUAUAAUAUUUAAUCAUCAAAUACAUUCAACAGUACAAUUGUUGGCUGAACUGGAAUAAAACGAAGGCCCUCCUGGCAUUUGUGAUUCCUGCUCUGACGAUUGUAGCUAUAAACCUCCUGCUGCUUAUUGUGAUUCUGUGCAAGAUGU